rnacentral:rRNA from 1 species
UACAGAGGGUUGCCAAGCCGCGAGGUGGAGCCAAUCCCUUAAAGCCGAUCGUAGUCCGGAUCGUAGUCUGCAACUCGACUACGUGAAGUCGGAAUCGCUAGUAAUCGCAGAUCAGCAUGCUGCGGUGAAUACGUUCCCGGGUCCUU